GAUGAACGCUAGCUACAGGCUUAACACAUGCCAGUCGCGGGGCAGCAUGGGGGUUGCUUGCAAUCCCCGAUGGCGACCGGCGCACGGGUGAGUAACGCGUAUCCAACCUGCCCUUCACCACGGGAUAACCCGGCGAAAGUCGGACUAAUACCGUAUGUUGUCCAUUGACGGCAUCCGAUUUGGACGAAAGGUUUGGCGGUGAAGGAUGGGGAUGCGUCCGAUUAGCUGGACGGCGGGGUGACGGCCCACCGUGGCGACGAUCGGUAGGGGUUCUGAGAGGAAGGGCCCCCACACUGGAACUGAGACACGGUCCAGACUCCUACGGGAGGCAGCAGUGAGGAAUAUUGGUCAAUGGGCGUAAGCCUGAACCAGCCAAGUAGCGUGCAGGAUGACGGCCCUAUGGGUUGUAAACUGCUUUUAUGCGGGGAUAAAGUGGCCCACGUGUGGGUUUUUGCAGGUACCGCAUGAAUAAGGACCGGCUAAUUCCGUG
rnacentral:rRNA from 1 species